CUGGUUGAUCCUGCCAGUAGUCAUAUGCUUGUCUCAAAGACUAAGCCAUGCAUGUCUAAGUAUAAAUGUUAUACAGUGAAACUGCGAAUGGCUCAUUAAAACAGUUAUAGUUUAUUUGAUAAUCGAAUUUACAUGGAUAACCGUGGUAAUUCUAGAGCUAAUACAUGCUGGUUAGCCUGACUUCGAGGAAGGGCUGUAUUUAUUAGAUAACAAACCAAUAUUCUUCGUGUCUAUUGUGAUGACUCAUAAUAACUGAUCGAAUCGCAUGGUCCUUGACCGCGAUAAAUCAUUCAAGUUUCUGCCCAUCAGCUUUCGAUGGUAGUGUAUUGGACUACCAUGGCUUUAACGGGUAACGGAGGAUUAGGGUUCGAUUCCGGAGAGGGAGCCUGAGAAACGGCUACCACAUCUAAGGAAGGCAGCAGGCGCGUAAAUUACCCAAUCCUGACUCAGGGAGGUAGUGACAAGAAAUAACGGACCGAGGCUUUGCUUCGGGAUUGCAAUGAGUAGAAUUUAAACCCCUUUACGAGGAUCCAUUGGAGGGCAAGUCUGGU
rnacentral:rRNA from 1 species